rnacentral:rRNA from 1 species
GCUACAGGCUUAACACAUGCAAGUCGAGGGGCAUCAGGAAGGAAGCUUGCUUUCUUUGCUGGCGACCGGCGCACGGGUGAGUAACACGUAUCCAACCUGCCCUUUACUCGGGGAUAGCCUUUCGAAAGAAAGAUUAAUACCCGAUAGCAUAAUGAUUCCGCAUGGUUUCAUUAUUAAAGGAUUCCGGUAAAGGAUGGGGAUGCGUUCCAUUAGGUUGUUGGUGGGGUAACGGCCCACCAAGCCUUCGAUGGAUAGGGGUUCUGAGAGGAAGGUCCCCCACAUUGGAACUGAGACACGGUCCAAACUCCUACGGGAGGCAGCAGUGAGGAAUAUUGGUCAAUGGGCGCUAGCCUGAACCAGCCAAGUAGCGUGAAGGAUGAAGGCUCUAUGGGUCGUAAACUUCUUUUAUAUAAGAAUAAAGUGCAGUAUGUAUACUGUUUUGUAUGUAUUAUAUGAAUAAGGAUCGGCUAACUCCGUGCCAGCAGCCGCGGUAAUACGGAGGAUCCGAGCGUUAUCCGGAUUUAUUGGGUUUAAAGGGAGCGUAGGUGGACUGGUAAGUCAGUUGUGAAAGUUUGCGGCUCAACCGUAAAAUUGCAGUUGAUACUGUCAGUCUUGAGUACAGUAGAGGUGGGCGGAAUUCGUGGUGUAGCGGUGAAAUGCUUAGAUAUCACGAAGAACUCCGAUUGCGAAGGCAGCUCACUGGACUGCAACUGACACUGAUGCUCGAAAGUGUGGGUAUCAAACAGGAUUAGAUACCCUGGUAGUCCACACAGUAAACGAUGAAUACUCGCUGUUUGCGAUAUACAGUAAGCGGCCAAGCGAAAGCAUUAAGUAUUCCACCUGGGGAGUACGCCGGCAACGGUGAAACUCAAAGGAAUUGACGGGGGCCCGCACAAGCGGAGGAACAUGUGGUUUAAUUCGAUGAUACGCGAGGAACCUUACCCGGGCUUAAAUUGCAGUGGAAUGAUGUGGAAACAUGUCAGUGAGCAAUCACCGCUGUGAAGGUGCUGCAUGGUUGUCGUCAGCUCGUGCCGUGAGGUGUCGGCUUAAGUGCCAUAACGAGCGCAACCCUUAUCUUCAGUUACUAACAGGUCAUGCUGAGGACUCUGGAGAGACUGCCGUCGUAAGAUGUGAGGAAGGUGGGGAUGACGUCAAAUCAGCACGGCCCUUACGUCCGGGGCUACACACGUGUUACAAUGGGGGGUACAGAAGGCAGCUAGCGGGUGACCGUAUGCUAAUCCCAAAAGCCUCUCUCAGUUCGGAUCGAAGUCUGCAACCCGACUUCGUGAAGCUGGAUUCGCUAGUAAUCGCGCAUCAGCCACGGCGCGGUGAAUACGUUCCCGGGCCUUGUACACACCGCCCGUCAAGCCAUGGGAGCCGGGGGUACCUGAAGUACGUAACCGCAAGGAUCGUCCUAGGGUAAAACUGGUGACUGGGGCUAAGUAG